rnacentral:misc_RNA from 1 species
AAUUUCUCAACCUUUAUUAGCUUUUGCUGAUGAAUGGCUUGGAUGUGGGGGUUCUUUUGCUGGCUCAGGUCGGCUCCCCUUAAAUGCAUUAGCUGGUGUACCCUGUGGUGGACUUGGUGUGAUAAUUAUCUACGCCAUGUAUUGUCUGCAACGCACUGCUUCUAACCGUCUGUUCAUUCGGACAAUUAAAUGACA